rnacentral:piRNA from 1 species
UGUCAUAGUGGUGUGAUCUUCAGGAUGAUC